rnacentral:lncRNA from 1 species
GUGACCACAGCUGUCGGGGCUAACUCUGGAAUGCCGGGUGCUCGGAGGAGCCUCCCCAGCUGGGGCCAAGCAGCGUCCAAGCAGAGGAGGAAACAGAUUCAGAUGGCAAAGGCAGAAAACGGGACGUGCUACUUUACCAGCACAUCACUGGGGGUAGGAGAUGAGGUCAGAGAACUCGCCAGGCCCAGAUCACCCAGCGCCUGAGUGGCUGGAGGUUAAGUGAGUUGGGUUUUUACAGGGUCCCUCUGUGUGGGUGUGGGGGGAAAGCUGAGAGGCCGAGGAGCAGGCAGAUGUGGUCAUCCAGGUAGGUUUGCCAGACUUAGCAAAGAAAAAUACAGGAUGCAUGCACUACUCGGGACAUACCUAACUAAAGAAUUAUUUGUUGUUUAUCUGAAAUUCCAACUUAAAACACUGGGUAUCCUGUAUUUUAGCUAGCAACCCAGGUGGCAGGUGGAAGAUGGAGAUUCACGAUUGCUUCUGGAAGACUCGCUGUGUGAUUCCGCCCACCCCAUGGCCAUUCCCUCCUCCUGAGAUGUUCAGAGCAGGAUUCCUACCUAGUGCCCCGCCAAACAUGGCCCACACCCCAAGUCACCCUGGACCACACCCGCCCCUCCGUCAUUUCCUACAGGCUUUUCCUGCAGAUUGAGAGAGGAAACUGGGCAGGGAGCACACCACUGAUGGGUGAAAUGAUGAUCUCACAGGAAACCAGACAAGCUAGAGUUGUCACCACACCCUGGACUCAGAGAACUUGGGUACUUCACCGACGGCCACCUCCCAUCGCCCUUUCAUUCUUCAUGGGCAGGGCCUUGCAAGCCUUGGUGAUGGAUUUUAUUCCAUGAGAUGGGGCAGCUGUUGCAGGAACACGAUUUGAGUUGUUUUUUGAAAGAUUGCUCUGGCUACUGUGCAGAGUGGCUUCUCAGGGUGCACACGGGGGAGAUGUCGUAGGACAACUGGGUGUUGGAUCUGGAGCUCAGGGAGAACAACCCUCAGAGGAGAUGGCCCCUGGCUGAGCCUGGAGAUACCACCAUUCCAGAGAAGAGCAGAGGGCCAGGAGAAGGGGCGUGUGGCUGUGUGGUUGACAUCUCGAUGACAUGUGCUGUGUGUGUCCCUCACAGACUUGGGAUCUUUCUGGGAGGCAAACACAGGCCUUGGGGAAUGUUCUGGGAUGGGCGAUGUCAGCCUCAGUGUGUUUGCUCAGCUGCUGGGCUCUCUUGGGACCAUAGAGGACUGCAGCACCAAUGGUGGAACUCCAGGCGUGGUGACAGGAUGUGACCAGGUUCCCCCACCCAGGUCUGUGGUCAGCCUGGCUGUGCUGAAUGGUGGAAGCAGGGGUGAGGCCCCGAGAGGUGUCUGGAGCCAUCUGGCCGUGAGGUCAGCCACCCAGCCAGGCCUCUGGAAGCCAUGGGCAGCCACUUCCCAGAUGCGGCUUCCUGCCCUUUCCUCCACCAAAACCACACUCAGCUCAUAGGCUGGCCUCAGGGGCAGUCCCUUUCCCACGGGGAGGGCCGCAUGCAAAUGCCACACUGAGCUGAGCCAAGGCAGGGGUCAAUUCUGAAGGCCUGGAUCCUCCAUGUCCUAUGGGCAGGUCAACCACAACAAAGCCCAGCCUGCCCAUCAAGCCCCACUGCUUUCCACUGCUUUGGUGCCUUCGCCUCUCUGGGUGAACCCUGCUCACCCUGAGCCCCUGCAUGUAAGGCACUUUUAGAUGCAAUCAUCCCCUGCGAUUUUCCUGAUACAGGGAGAAGAAGGCAGGUGGCCCUGGCCACUGUGUGUGCUGACGCAGAGCGAACAGGCAGCAGCACUGGAGGGAGGGAGGAGUGUGUGUGUGGCUGUGCGUCCUGUGUGUGGAUUUUUGUGUGCAAGUCCCGUGUGUGUACCUAGCAUGUAUGUCCCAGUAGCUUGUGUGUACCUGUGCCCUGGGUGUGUGCUUGUGCAAAUC